UACAGAGGGUGCGAGCGUUGUCCGGAAUCACUGGGCGUAAAGGGCGCGUAGGUGGCGCGACAAGUCAGUGGUGAAAGUUCGACGCUCAACGUCGAAUCGGCCACUGAUACUGUUGGGCUUGAGCACUGUAGAGGCUAAUGGAAUUCCGGGUGUAGCGGUGGAAUGCGUAGAGAUCCGGAAGAACACCGGUGGCGAAGGCGGCCCGCUGGGCAGAGACUGACGCUGAGGCGCGACAGCGUGGGGAGCAAACAGG
rnacentral:rRNA from 1 species